AUUGAACGCUGGCGGAAUGCUUUACACAUGCAAGUCGAACGGCAGCACGGGGCAACCUGGUGGCGAGUGGCGAACGGGUGAGUAAUACAUCGGAACGUGCCCAAUCGUGGGGGAUAACGUAGCGAAAGUUACGCUAAUACCGCAUACGAUCUACGGAUGAAAGCGGGGGAUCGCAAGACCUCGCGCGAAUGGAGCGGCCGAUGUCAGAUUAGGUAGUUGGUGGGGUAAAGGCUCACCAAGCCAACGAUCUGUAGCUGGUCUGAGAGGACGACCAGCCACACUGGAACUGAGACACGGUCCAGACUCCUACGGGAGGCAGCAGUGGGGAAUUUUGGACAAUGGGCGCAAGCCUGAUCCAGCCAUUCCGCGUGCAGGAUGAAGGCCUUCGGUUGUAAACUGCUUUUGUACGGUAACG
rnacentral:rRNA from 1 species